rnacentral:rRNA from 1 species
AUGGCCGCCUCCCUCCUUUGCACCUGGCCUCGGCUGGAGUCGCCUCUGUCAGCAACCAGCACGACCACGAGGCUGCCCUCUCCUUCCUCUGCACAGGAGCUCGCAGCUACCACCAUCGCCUCUUUGCUGUUGGCAUCCCGAGGCCCCUUGUGCUGUUUUGUGUUGGACGGUAAGGCCACCGAGUUCGACUACGUGGAUUCGCCAAGUACCAUUCGGAUGCACCAAGUUCGACCAUAUGGACCGCCAAGUUCGGCUACGAUCCUCGAGACCAUCAUGUUGCACACCAACAUGAGUAUGACCACGGACGGCUUACCUGCGGAUGGAUUUCGUCAAGUUCAACGACGACCCGUGAAGCACAUGGGUACAUCAAGUUCCUCUCCGAACGUGAACGACUACCAUCGCCGAGACCGCAAGUACCACGACAACCCCGAAGGGAUUCGGACCCGUCAAGUACCUCUUCGAAAACGAACGUGUACCCCUACUUCCAGUACCGUCACGAGAACAACUACUUCCUCUACGAACUCGAACCACUCGAGAAUGCUCCCUUGGAAGAGCAGGAAAGCCAAAGGGGGGGGUACUACGUCUGAUGCCGUGAAGUGUGACCCAAACAAAGUUAGGCGGCUCAGUUUGAGCGAGCAACAGCUUGCCAAAGCUGUAGUUAAUCAUGGCACUGAAAUAGUGAGGUUUACACAGAGGAAUCUACUGAGGAUAUACCCAAAGGGCACUCGGGUUACUUCUUCCAACUACAAUCCAUUUAUUGGUUGGGUGCAUGGUGCUCAGAUGGUAGCCUUCAAUAUGCAGGGAUAUGGAAGAGCCCUUUGGUUAAUGCAUGGAUUUUAUAAAGCCAAUGGUGGCUGUGGCUACAUGAAGAAACCGGAUUUCUUGAUGCAGUCUGAGCCGGAAGUUUUUGAUCCAAAAAAGCCUCAACCUGUUAAGAAGACCUUGAAGGUAAAAGUGUACAUGGGUGAUGGUUGGGGGAUGGACUUCAAGCAGACACACUUUAAAUGUUUCACCUGGAUCCCGUCAACAGCGUCGCUGCGGCCUAGUGGAUAG